rnacentral:rRNA from 1 species
UCGGGAAUAUUGCGCAAUGGAGGAAACUCUGACGCAGUGACGCCGCGUGCAGGAAGAAGGUUUUCGGAUUGUAAACUGCUUUAGACAGGGAAGAAAAAGGACAGUACCUGUAGAAUAAGCUCCGGCUAACUACGUGCCAGCAGCCGCGGUAAUACGUAGGGAGCAAGCGUUAUCCGGAUUUAUUGGGUGUAAAGGGUGCGUAGACGGGAAUACAAGUUAGUUGUGAAAUCCCUCGGCUUAACUGAGGAACUGCAACUAAAACUAUAUUUCUUGAGUGCUGGAGAGGAAAGUGGAAUUCCUAGUGUAGCGGUGAAAUGCGUAGAUAUUAGGAGGAACACCAGUGGCGAAGGCGACUUUCUGGACAGUAACUGACGUUGAGGCACGAAAGUGUGGGGAGCAAACAGGAUUAGAUACCCUGGUAGUCCACACCGUAAACGAUGGAUACUAGGUGUAGGGGAUGAAUAAUCUUCUGUGCCGUCGCAAACGCAGUAAGUAUCCCACCUGGGGAGUACGACCGCAAGGUUGAAACUCAAAGGAAUUGACGGGGGCCCGCACAAGCAGUGGAGUAUGUGGUUUAAUUCGACGCAACGCGAAGAACCUUACCAGGGCUUGACAUAUGCAUGAAAAUCUAAGAGAUUAGAUCCCUCUUCGGAGCAUGUAUACAGGUGGUGCAUGGUUGUCGUCAGCUCGUGUCGUGAGAUGUUGGGUUAAGUCCCGCAACGAGCGCAACCCCUGUUCUUAGUUGCCAGCGAGUAAUGUCGGGAACUCUAAGAAGACUGCCGGUGAUAAAUCGGAGGAAGGUGGGGACGACGUCAAAUCAUCAUGCCCUAUAUGUCCUGGGCUACACACGUACUACAAUGGCUGUAACAAAGGGAAGCUAAGCCGCGAGGUGGAGCAAAACCCAAAAAAGCAGUCUCAGUUCGGAUUGAAGGCUGAAAUUCGCCUUCAUGAAGUCGGAAUUGCUAGUAAUGGCAGGUCAGCAUACUGCCGUGAAUACGUUCCC